CCUGACAGAAAUUCAGAAGAACGGAGCUGCAUUCAGUUAGGACGUGAAGGCAUGAAAUGCCCGUUUGUCUCAGGACCUUGUAGAAGAAUGAGCUGGUAGCCACUUUCCGAGUCCUGCUGGAACCAGAGACCGAGGUUUCCAUCCUGUCAAUGCUGAUCUUUUUGGACCAAGCAGCACAAACCGAACCCAGAAUUGGAUGUGGACAGCUGUGGAGAAACCUGGCCUGUGGUCUUCAGUCUUCAGGAAGAACUGAAGUUCUUCUGAAUUUCCCAUCAAGAACCCCAUGAAAAAGCUGUUGUUUAACCACAGUAUGAAUGAACCCAAUAGGAAGGAAGAAUCCACCUAUGUCCCAUGUUUACUCACAUUUGGGUUUGAGUAACUGGGACACCAGAGCAUGAGUAGACAGAAAAACACCCUCUGCACCUUCGUGUCCUGGUUGUUAUCAGGGGGCACCAGGGAGGAAGUGGGGGUGGGAAUGGAGUGGGGUGAUAAUUGGGGCUGGAGGUGGUGUUUCAGUAAGGGUGGGAUUGGGGAGGGUGUGUGUCAGGAGAAGAAGGGGGUGAGGGACAGUACCAAGAUCAGAUCAAGUUCUUGAGUGGAGGAAGGGGGGUUCAGACAGGUUAGUUGGUCAGCAGGUCAACAAAUCACUAGGUGAGCAGGACACAAGUAGCAGCUGGAGCAGAGGAGGAUCCAUCUAUCUUCAAGCCUUCAACUCUCUGAGCAUUGCUUUAACAGCCUGUAACAUUUAUACUCUCUCUCUCUC